GACGAACGCUGGCGGCGUGCUUAACACAUGCAAGUCGAACGGAAAGGCCCUGCUUUUGUGGGGUGCUCGAGUGGCGAACGGGUGAGUAACACGUGAGUAACCUGCCCUUGACUUUGGGAACACUUCAGGAAACUGGGUAUAAUACCGGAUAGGAGCUCCUGCUGCAUGGUUGGUGAUGGAAAGUUUCGGCGGUUGGGGAUGGACUCGCGGCUUAUCAGCUUGUUGGUGGGGUAGUGGCUUACCAAGGCGUUGACGGGUAGCCGGCCUGAGAGGGUGACCGGGCAACAUGGGGCUGAGGUACGGGCCAUACUCCUACGGGAGGGAGGAGUGGGGGAAUAUGCGAAAUGGGAGGAAGCCUCUUGCAGCAACACCGCGUGUGGGAUGUCGGCCUUUGGGUAGUGAACCGUUUUCGCCGGUGACGAAGCGUGAGUGACGGUAAUGGGUGAAGAAGCACCGGCUAACUACGUG
rnacentral:rRNA from 1 species